UACAGAGACUGCGAGCGUUAUUCGGAUUCACUGGGCGUAAAGGGUGCGCAGGCGGCCGUGUGUGUGAGGCGUGAAAGCCCGGGGCUUAACCCCGGAAUUGCACCUCAAACUACACGGCUAGAGCAUUGGAGAGGGUAGCGGAAUUCACGGUGUAGCAGUGAAAUGCGUAGAUAUCAUUUGGAACGCCAAUGGUGAAAACAACUCGCUGGGGGUGUGCUGACGCUGAGACACGAAAGCCAGGGGAGCGAACGGG
rnacentral:rRNA from 1 species